GGUGUGGCAGGCUUACGUAUGGAUGUUCAAGCCAGACAUUGCCAGAAGAACUACAUCUCUUCACCCAUAGAAAAAUGAAUGAUGUGACCAUUUGGUGCAGGACAACAGCAUUAUGUUCACCAGUCUCUGUACUGUAUGUUACUGCACAGCACGGACUGUAGGAAAAAGCCCAGAGGAGCAAUGAAGACAAAGAAGACACGACACCUGCAAAAAGUCAGUGAAGUAUUUCUACACAACAAACCUUCCAGGCUGCCAUGAUCCUCCCUCUGGACCCUGUGGUCAGGGUCGCUGCAGAGAUCCUCCCUUUGGACCCCGCCUGCCUGAAGGGCCCAUACCUUGGUCAGGAGUCUUAGAAGGACUGCCGUGAGCCAUGUCAUAAAAAGGAGAAAACAUCACAUUGGACAGCCCCAAUUCCUGCAUAUACAGACGGGAAACUUAGGUGCACUGCUACUCUGACUCCAAAUACUACAGCACCACAUGCUUCUCAGACUGGUGGAUGCACAGCUCCACUUCUUUGCAGAGAGGAUGCACAACAGCAGAAUAUCCGUGGCCCGACUUUCUGGAGCAUCAGUAUUAC